UAAGGAGUAUUGGUCAAUGGACGCAAGUCUGAACCAGCCAUGCCGCGUGGAGGAUUAAGGCCCUCUGGGUCGUAAACUCCUUUUAUCUGGGAAGAGAUGUACUUUUUCUUGAGUACUUGACGGUACCAGAGGAAUAAGCACCGGCUAACUCCGUGCCAGCAGCCGCGGUAAUACGGAGGGUGCAAGCGUUAUCCGGAUUCACUGGGUUUAAAGGGUGCGUAGGUGGGCAGGUAAGUCAGUGGUGAAAUCUCCGGGCUUAACCCGGAAACUGCCGUUGNUACUAUUUGUCUUGAAUAUUGUGGAGGUAAGCGGAAUAUGUCAUGUAGCGGUGAAAUGCUUAGAUAUGACAUAGAACACCAAUUGCGAAGGCAGCUUACUACACAAUCAUUGACGCUGAGGCACGAAAGCGUGGGGAUCAAACA
rnacentral:rRNA from 1 species